CCUACGGGUGGCAGCAGUGAGGAAUAUUGGUCAAUGGACGAGAGUCUGAACCAGCCAAGUAGCGUGAAGGAUGACUGCCCUAUGGGUUGUAAACUUCUUUUAUAAAGGAAUAAAACGAGGCACGUGUGCCUUUUUGCAUGUACUUUAUGAAUAAGGAUCGGCUAACUCCGUUCCAGCAGCCGCGGUAAUACGGAGGAUCCGAGCGUUAUCCGGAUUUAUUGGGUUUAAAGGGAGCGUAGAUGGGUUGUUAAGUCAGUUGUGAAAGUUUGCGGCUCAACCGUAAAAUUGCAAUUGAUACUGGCAGUCGUGAGUACAGUUGAGGUAGGCGGAAUUCGUGGUGUAGCGGUGAAAUGCUUAGAUAUCACGAAGAACCCCGAGUGCGAAGGCAGCUUACUAAACUGUGACUGACAUUGAUGCUCGAAAGUGUGGGUAUCAAACAGGAUUAGAUACCCCUGUAGUC
rnacentral:rRNA from 1 species